rnacentral:rRNA from 1 species
GGGAAUUUUCCGCAAUGGGCGAAAGCCUGACGGAGCAAUGCCGCGUGGAGGUGGAAGGCCUACGGGUCGUCAACUUCUUUUCUCGGAGAAGAAACAAUGACGGUAUCUGAGGAAUAAGCAUCGGUUAACUCUGNGCCAG